UGUAUAUUUCAAAUAAGCAUGAGUUAAAUUAUUAUGAUAUCUAUAUCAAAUUAUUGUCAAAUAAGUACUAUAUAAGGAACUCCAAGAAUGUUAUGUAUAUUCAAAGAACAAAAGAAAAUAGAGUUGUAAGAAAAUCUUGAAAAAAAUAAUGGCAACGUUCAUCUGCCAAUCUCUUCUAUUGGGACUUUUAUGCAUUGCGUUGGUUGUGGCCUCAGCAGGACCAACACCAGAUUUUAUAUGCAUUGGGACUGGGAAAUGCCCAAUUUGUCACGAUAUGUGCAAGCUAGAGGGAUAUAUAGGUGGAAUUUGUCAUGAUAUGGUUUGUUGUUGUUCUUAAAGACAACUCAUUGAUAUUAUGCAAUCAAGACCAACAAAGUAUUUGAAGAUUACUUCAAAGAGCUAGAAUAUAUGAGAAGCUAAAAUAAAAAAGAAAUUAUGCAAUUAAAAUAAUAUUUUAUUUUUGAGCAUCAUUAUACUUUUGUAAUAUUGUUCUAAAAUUAAUGUAUCGCAGUUAAUCUUUUUAUUAAAUUUAAACAAGUGAGCAUUAACGAAUAAAUUUGUUACAGCGUUAUUCUAUUAUAAAAAUAAUUUCUAAGAUUA